GUGAGGAAUAUUGCGCAAUGGAGGCAACUCUGACGCAGCCAUGCCGCGUGCAGGAAGAAGGCGCUACGCGUUGUAAACUGCUUUUAACCGGGAAGAAACCCCAGGACGUGUCCUGGGUUGACGGUACCGGAGGAAUAAGCACCGGCUAACUUCGUGCCAGCAGCCGCGGUAAUACGAAGGGUGCAAGCGUUAUCCGGAUUCAUUGGGUUUAAAGGGUGCGUAGGCGGAGCGUUAAGUCAGUGGUGAAAUCUUGCAGCUUAACUGUAGACUUGCCAUUGAUACUGGCGCUCUUGAGUGCGCUUGAAGUGGGCGGAAUGUGCCGUGUAGCGGUGAAAUGCUUAGAUAUGGCACAGAACACCAAUUGCGAAGGUAGCUCACUAAGGCGAUACUGACGCUGAGGCACGAAAGCGUGGGGAUCGAACAGGAUUAGAAACCCUUGUAGCC
rnacentral:rRNA from 1 species